ACAAGAAGAACAAGAACAAGAAGAACAAGAACAAGAACAAGAACAAGAACAAGAACAAGAACAAGAGCAAGAAAGAUGUGAAUUAUCAAAACUGAUUUGAUCCUUCAUAGAUUUUUGGACCCGUAUUUGUUGCCUUGUAGAAGUCAUAAGCCAUAUAAGAAAUGACGAGCUGAUAAUACCACUUUCAAGUGGACACCACAUAGGAAACCACAUUAUUUGGAAAAAGGAUAGCAAAGAAGAUCUAUUUCAUUUAAGUGAUGACUGAUAAAAAACAGUUCAUUUGAAACCUGCUUGUAUUGGCUGUGUCUUGCUAUUCCCUUCAAUGCCUCUUUUGUAUAGAUAAAGUAUUUUCAUAAAAGUGGGCGCUGAAUCUCUUCUAGUGUUGAAUACAUCCAUGACUUAAUAUUAAGUGGUUUUGGUGAGCAUUUCUGUCUCAGGUUGUUGUGUCUGAACAUCUCUGUAAUAGGUAGACAGUUUAAUGAAAUCCACUUAGGUCCAAAUCCUGUUAAACCUUUAUUUUUUGUAAAGAUAGCUAGCUUUGUCUCUAAAAAAUAAAAAUAAAAUAUCAAGAGCGAUGUCCAGCCUGUAUGUGUAGCUUUCUAUUCCGAUUACUUUGGAAGAUAUGCUUGCCAGAGAUUAAUGCUUUGCAAUUAUUGCAUAUGUGGGGUGUGAGAAAUCCUUGAAUCAAAACAUUCCAAGCCAAAAGUUUGUGAAGUAUUUUUCUGAAUGUCUUCACACUUUGAAUUGUGCUCAAAUAAGAAAUCCGUUGCUUUUAGGUACAGAAACAGAGUAUGGCCCUAAGCCAGGGAUCCAGAAAAAUAUGAUGUCUAUAAUGGAAUUUCAAUUGAAUGGAGAUACUUAAAUUCAAGCAUUUCACAAGUCUGUGGAAGACCUAGUACAAGUUCAUCCAGGCUGAGAACUUUCAGACCAGUAUGUUUUCAGCAAUACAUUCCAAAGCCGUUUCCAGAGAUUAGCUAAUACUUACCUGUAAUCUUGAACUCAGCAUGAAAUACAGUGGCAUCCUCUCUAUAAUUUAACUUUUUAAUUGAUGGGUGAAGAAGCUGAAUUGUAUAUUUAUUCAAUGAUUUUUGCAAAGUUUGUGAACUGUUUUGGGGAAAGAAAUGAACCCUUGGACACCUGACUUUCAUAUCACUAUGACAUGACAUCCACAAUCCUAUGCGGGUAUUUUCUUUUUAGUGUCAUGAACCUUGAGCUCACCGUGACAUGGUGGUUCUGCUUCAACAAGGGGGAGAGAACACAUUUGACGUGUUCUAGUCUAUAGUUAGUGGGGAAAACUCUCUGCUGAAAGAGAAUUUGGAGGCCUAACAAGCCUUAGACUGAGAAGGAAAGAGAAGUCACUUUUCCUACUCUCUCAUGUGAUAAUGUUUUAAAGAAAAUAAAAGCCAGAAAUAAUCAGUUUGCUGUACCUAAGUAACUGAUGGCUAAUCCAGGAGGAAAUAUCUAACAGUGUAUUUUGAGCCUAACCCCAGAGAGCCACAUGAUUUCAACAGUACAGGAGUCUCUGCCAGUUGGCUUGAGUGAACUUCUGCUCACUGUGUUUGUGACAACAUACCCCAUUCUUAAGACCAUAAUGACCCAUUUUUAGUGUACGAAGAAUUUAGAUACUUAUCUUUGGCCCAAAGCUCUCCUUGUAGAUCCGAACUUUAGCAUUUCUGGGAUUCCUGUCACAAAUCAUUUCAAAAAAUACUCCUAUGCUUUCUCAUUUAUAUAAGAGAUACAAUCUUGUGGCACACUGAAUACCUUUUAUACAGUAGAGGAGUAUCUUUUAUGUACAAGAUGGUGAACCUUCUGGAACUUGACUAAUACAAGUGAUAGAAAGGCAAGGUCUAUGUUCUGUAGUCAACAUUAUGUAUACAGUUUAGUUUGGCACAGUUAAAUCUGUGCAUUUGGCAACACAUUUUAUGAGGUAUCUUGCUGCACAGUAAUAUAUACAUAUAUAUACUUAUUUUAGGCUGGCUACUUUAAUAGUAGUUUAGGAUUUCAACAAUUAUUUCUAAAACCAUUAAUCAUAUAACUCCUGCUGCCAUUGCCCAUUGGGAUGUAGUAGUGAAAGGACAGUAUUAAUGCUGAAUUGAUACAGCUCCCAGGAUGAAGGAAAUAGUGAAACAAAAUAGUUAAGCUGUACCCUCAUCUCUGAAACCUAAAGGAAUAUCCUUGUAAAAGAGGUGAAUUGAGUAGGCUAAUCCUGGCAAACUUUAUCACAGUGACUCAUACUCUUUCCUUGUUGAGCAAAAGCAAACAAAGAGAACAAAAUUCUACCCUUUCUAAAUACUUUAAAACAGAGUUUAGAAUCCCCCUUGCCACCCCAUAGCACUGAGGUCUAUAAUGGACUAGCUAUGACACAUCUUAACAUGACAAAUUCCUUAAAGUUAGGACUAUUUUUCUGUUUUCCCAGAGUAUAAAAGUGAAGAGAUGAAUUACGCCAAAUAACACAGAUCAUAAUUAUUUUUAGCUCUGAUUCAACAGGAGAUUUACAGACAGAUCUGUGGUCACCAAAGAAGUAUUUGCAUCUGUUUAUGUUAUGACAUCUCAGAUCAAAGCAAGGCUUUAAACUUUAACUUUCUGUUUUCUGAGUGGAUAAUGAAACUGGGGAAAAACUGAAGAUGUGAAGAGGGAAAAGCUACAGAGUAUUAAACACACUGAAGACAAUUUUGAAAUGAAAGGGGCAUGUAGGAUGAAGCCCAGAGGUUGGAUCCAUCAGACUUUGGAACACUGCUCCUCAUCCCCUAGAUUAUGUACAUAUGUGUGUGUGCCCAUGAAUCAAUCCAGCAAUUGUGGAAACACUCCAUGUUUAAAACGAGGCCUGUGGUGGCCUCAGGCUUUGCUGAAUAUCAAGCCCUUUGCAGUACUAUUUCCUGUGUGGUUAAUUCUUUGUACUACGGUGACACAACAUUUCUGCAUCUGAAGAUAACAUAGUUAGUUAGUACUGAGUUAUAGUGGCAGAACAAGUCCAGUAAAAUUCAGCUGUGAAAACUUAGCUAAAAUAGGGUUUCGUUUUAAACAGAUGCUAAGAUUUUUCAAGUAUGAAUCUUCAAGAGAUGGUUUUAAGCAAGCUGAGGGUCUCUUUAACAGGUAGAUGACAUCUAUUCCUACAGUCAAAGAAAAAUCUGUUAACUACCUUGUAAAAGGGGAUAUCACCAAUCACUAACAGGGAAAAAAAAUUAAAAAAAAAAUAAAAAAGCAACACCUGCUUGAUUAAAUUGAUGGAGUUUUGCUAUUGUUUUUAAUGAGAUCAUGAUUAGACCUUUUAUGAAGUUAACUGAGAA